rnacentral:rRNA from 1 species
CCCUUAGAUGUCCUGGGCCGCACGCGCGCUACACUGAUGCAUGCAACGAGUUUAUAACCUUGGCCUGAAAGGUCUGGGUAAUCUUUUGAACGUGCAUCGUGAUAGGGAUAGAUUAUUGCAAUUGUUAAUCUUGAACGAGGAAUUCCUAGUAAACGCGAGUCAUCAGCUCGCAUUGAUUACGUCCCUGCCCUUUGUACACACCGCCCGUCGCACCUACCGAUUGAAUGGUUCGGCGAAGAUCUCGGACUUCGAUAUUUAUUCUUUAUUGAGUUUAUAUUGUGGGAAGUUAUCUAAACCUCAUCAUUUAGAGGAAGGUGAAGUCGUAACA